GAUGAACGCUGGCGGCGUGCCUAAUACAUGCAAGUCGAGCGAAAAGACGAGGAGCUUGCUCCCCUGCCGUUAGCGGCGGACGGGCGAGUAACACGUGGAUCACCUACUUCUUUGACUGGGAUAAUUUCGGGAAACAGGAGCUACUACUAGAUAAUAUAUCGUACCGCAUGGUUCAGUAGUGAAAGACGGUUUUGCUGUCACUUAUAGCUGAUUCCGGGCCGCAUUAGCUAGUUGGUAAGGUAACGGCUUACCAAGGCAACGAUGCGUAGCCGACCUGAGAGGAUGAUCAGCCACACUGGAACUGAGACACGGUCCAGACUCCUACGGGAGGCAGCAGUGGGGAAUCUUGGACAAUGGGCGAAAGCCUGACGCAGCAACGCCGCGUGGGUGAAGAAGGUCUUCGGGUCGUAAAGCUCUGUUGUUAGGAAAGAACAAAAGUGUAAGAAACCAUGGACGUUUUGACGGUACCCAAACAGAAAGCCACGGCUAACUACGUG
rnacentral:rRNA from 1 species